CUAGAUGUUAAGGUUGGUAAGGAUAGGUUGGUAGUGACGGAAUCAGACACCAAAAGCUUAGUGUACCUUCAAUCCAUUAUUAAGGAAACGCUACGCUUAUACCCUGCUCUUCCACUAUCCCUGAUCCAUGAAGCCAUUGAAGACUGCACAGUUAAUGGAUAUCAUGUUUCAGCUGGCACUUGGCUUAUUAUAAAUCUUCAUAAGAUUCAUCGUGAUCCACUUAUAUGGGCAAAUCCCUCUAAAUUUCAACCUGAAAGAUUUAUGACCACACAUAAAGAUGUUGAUGUGAGGGGACAAAAUUUUGAACUGAUUCCAUUUGGAAGUGGUAGAAGAAUGUGUCCCGGACUUUCAUUUGCACUUCAGAAUUUGUCACUUAUACUAGCUAAUGUGUUACAUUGGUUUGAGUUUGAGACCUCGUUCGAUGAAGCCGUUGAUAUGCGUGAAGCACCUGGCCUGACGAGUUCUAAAGCAACUCCAUUAGAAGUUCAUAUAACUCCUCGUAAUCCUACUUAUGUUUAGCAAUUAUUAUAAGAAUUAACUUUUUAGUAUUAUUACUAUUUAUAUCUUUUUUGUGGAUAUCAAAAUUGUUAGUAUAUUGCUUAUUUAUCGAACAAUUAUUAUAUACACGAUCAAAAAUAAAUAUUUGGGCUACUUGGUGCUGUUGGUGCAAUUGAUUUUACUGAUUUAAUAUUUUUAUUUUAUUUUUUAUUUUUGAAUAAAUAAUUUUAUUCAAAACAUGCAUCUCAGUAGUUGUGUUGAAAGAAUAUCAACGUACUAAAGCAUAUGAGAACGAUGGUCAAUUGGAACCUUACCCCUGUAUUGGUGGAUAUCAACGUACUACUAAAGAAUUAAGUUGGAGGUGUUUACUGGGCACUUCUAACAAAAUUUGAGAGAGUUCAUUUCAUAAACAUAUAGUUUUAACUAAAUGAUAAAUUUAGAGUUGUUAUGCCUCUACCACUUCUCAAUUUACUCCUCACGAAAGCUCCACUUAUUAUUCGAACAUAUCUUUCGGGAACACUUCUCUACUUAACAGUUAUAUUAGUUUAUGUGAGCCUCACUUAUUAAUUGUCACUAUUCAUCUUUACUACCGUAUUUCAUCUCAAGUGAUUAAAAGCACUAUCAAUCCCCAUUCUACCUACACAUAUGGUGAUAGACAAUAUGGCCCCUUUUCUUGACUUGUUAAUAGAGACGUGACACGUGUAUCUCAAAAUUGUAGCUAAGGGUUUAAAAUACCUCAAAAUUGACUAGAAAAUGGCGCUCUCUCUCUCUUCCCCCCUCUCCCUCCCUCUCUCUCUUAAUAUACAUCAUCUACAUAAAUAGAACAUAAAAUUCAACGGUUGACUUAUUAAGAUAUUAAUUGUAUAAAAAAAUUAUAAAAAGUAUAAUAUCACUAUAAUUUUUGAUAAAUUAUAAAUAGCACGAGUCAAACCAAAAUCUCACAUAAGACAUUAAACACCCUUAACCAUCAAACCAAUACAUAAAGUUUAAUAUCAUUAUAAUUUUAUACUAAUAUAAGUGUAUCAUUUCCCUAUAUUUAAUGAUGAUAAUAAUAGACAAGAAUAUUAAUUUCGUGGAAAACAAUAAGUGAACGAAUUUCCUUUUUCAUCUUCAUUUUUUAUUUGGAAAUAAAAAUGUGUUCCACGAAGAUUACCAGGCUGGUUUUGUUAAUGUAGAAAAUAACGUUCUGUUUGUUUUACGAAAAAUGUAUUCAAAGUUUGAUUCAUGGAAAAUAGUUUGAUCAAUGGAAAAUGACUUAUAAGUCAACUGAAAAUAAGUCAUUUUUCUUGUAAAAUGACUUAGCGUAAAUCAUUUUUUCGGAGAAGAACUCAUUUAUAGGUAAUUUUACUUUCAUAUAAAAAAUAACUUUUAGUCAAGCUUAAUAUUAUUAUAUUAAUAAUAAAUUUUAUUUUUAUUUUUAAAAAUAUUUAAAAUAAAUAAAAUAUUAAUAUAACAUAUUAUAAUUUUUAAUAUUAUUAAACAUACAUAUUUAAUUAUCUCUAUCUAAUCAUAUAAUAAAUUAUUAUUUAAUAAAUUAAUUUUAUUUUAAUAAUAAAUUUUGAAAAUAAUAAUUUUAAAUAAUUUCAUAUAUUAUUGAAAAAAUUCAAUAUUAAUAUUUUGAUAACAAAUAUUUAUUACAAUUAUAAAUAUAUUAAUAAUAAAUGUUUUGUAGUAUAAAGUUUAAAAUAUGUCAUAAGUCUAUGUACUCUUUACAAAUUCAGAAUUAUAAAGUUUAAAUAUUUAGCCCAUCUACUCUUCAGAUUUGAAAAUCAAGUCCAAUUGUUAACAUUGCUUAAUUUUUUUUGUUAAUUUUGUCGAUUUUAAAUUUUCAAACAAAAAAUAUUCACUUGAUAGUCAUUUAACUAAAAAAUGAGGUUAUAAUUAACCUGAAUUUAAUAGAAUAUUUUUAGUAGUAGUAACUGUUGAGCCUGAAUUUAAUAUCUAAAAAGUAAAACUAAAUUUUCAAAAAUAAAAGUAAAUGGGCUAAAUAAUAUAAUUUUAUAAUAUGAUUCCACAAAUCUAUUAUUUAUGUUAUUUUAGAUAUUUAGUUAGCGAGAGAUGGUAGUGGAUCGUCAAGGAAAAGUGGUUUGCAAUAUUUGUCUUUGGGUUAAUUUAAUUAAUUGUCCCUAGAGUAUUAAUUAGACUUCAAAUUAGUUCCUAAAUUUUAAAAUAUUUUAUUUAAAUUCUUAAAAUAUUGGUAUCGAACAAAUCAUAUCAUUACCUCAACUUAACCGCUAAUUUAGAUGUUGAAUAAUAGUUUGAAUUUGACAUAGAGCAUAUUCAAAUUACGAGCAACAAAUUAUAAACACAUGUAAACUUAUCACAUAAACAUGUUGGAUAUGAAAAAUAAACGGUAUAAAAGAAUUUAGAAGUGUAAUUUUUUUAAGUUGUUAUUGUUUGUAUUCUAGCUUAAUAAUUGAGUAAUAUUAUAUAUUUAAUUUGAUGUAUUUAUUUAUAAAUAAAUUAUUGUAAUAUAUGAAAAAAAACAUAAAAUAUAUAUUUAUAGAUAUAAAAUAAAUUCAAUUAAAUAAUGAAAAUAUAAAAGAAUCUUAAAUGUAUUAAUUGAAAACAAUUUUUAUGAAAUAUUUUCAGGAAAAUUACUAAAUAAUCGAAAAUAUUUAUACUGAUUUAUUUGAACACCAUAAAAAAUUAAAUUUUUUAUAAAAAUAAAUCAUUUUUCAAAAAUCUUUUUUUUUUGGAAAUCAUUUUCAAGAAAAUAAAUGGAGCCCAAGAUUGGAAUUAGUAUAACCUGUCGUCUUUCUUCACAUCGCAGUACUUCGUUGAUUUUCUUAUAUGGCUUAAAAAUUCCAAUAUCAGUAACGUAUGUUAGUGAAAGAUCAAUAUACGAUAAUUACGUCAACAACACAACAAUGCAUAUAUAUGCAUUGUCUGUAUCUUAGAUUGAAAGUAGAAAUUUGGCGAUGGAUUAUUCCCAUUCACUCACAGCAACUUCAGCUGUUGCAAUCAUUGCUUUUCCACUACUAUUUCUUUUCUCUUUUCUAUGGAUCUCAAGAAGAAACACAAACUCGAAGAAAACAGCACCAGAAGCUGGUGGAGCAUGGCCUAUUAUUGGUCAUCUCCGCCUCUUAGGAGGAUCACAACCACCUCACAUAAGCUUGGCUAACAUGGCUGACAAAUAUGGAGGAAUCUUCAGUAUCAAGUUGGGUGUGCAUAGAGCUUUGGUGGUGAGCGAUUGGGAGAUUGCAAAAGAAUGUCUCACCGUAAAUGAUAAAGAGUUUGCCUCUCGUCCAAAACUUGCAAGCUCGGAAAUUUUGGGUAACAACAGAGCCAUGUUAGGCUUUGCACCAUAUGGACCUUAUUGGCGUCAAAUACGCAAGGUUGCCGCUAUUGAGCUCCUCUCAAAUCACCGACUCGAAUUACUUAAACAUGUAAGGGAAUCCGAGGUGAAGACAUCUCUGCAACAGUUGUAACAGCUGUGGAACAAGAAGAGAAGUGCUAACUCCGAUAAAGUAUUGGUGGAGAUGAGGGGAUGGUUCAAAGAAGUUACUCUGAACGUGAUUAUGUGGAUGAUUGUAGGGAAGCGAAUUCCAAAUUCCAGUGAAGGAGGUGAAAACUUGAAAUGGAGGAAAUCGAUGGAUGACUUCUUUGUACUAAGUGGAAAGUUCUUAAUAUCAGAUGCUUUGCCGUUUCUGAGAUUCCUGGACAUAGGUGGAGACAUCAAGUUCAUGAAGAAGACAGCGAAAGAAUUGGACCAAGUUCUGCAGGGAUGGCUACGAGAGCACAAGCAGAAGAGAGCUGAAAAUAAGGCAAACGGUGAGGAAGAUUUCAUGGGAGUGAUGCUGUCUAUUCUCAGUGAGGCGGAGGAACACCAUGCUGAUACAAUAAACAAAAUCAAUUGUCUAGUACGUGCAUAUCUCUUAACCAAAUAGAUUGUAAUUAAUGGCAAUUUUUUUUUGGUCAAGAUUGCUAUUAAUAACAUACAUAAGUUGGAAAUGCCAUUAUUUCAUUGUUGAUCUUUUCAUGGUAUUUGAUGUAACAGGGACUUGUCUUAGGCGUGGAGGAUACCACAUCCAUCACAUUGAUAUGGGCCUAUCUUUGCUACUCAAUAAUCGUGACAAAUUGAGUAAAGUCCAACAAGAACUAGAUGUCCACAUUGGUAAGGAUAGACUUCAGACACAAAAAACUUAGUGUACCUUCAAUCCAUCAUUAAAGAAACUCUACGCCUAUAUCCUCCUGCUCCGCUCUCUGUGAUCCAUGAAGCCACUGAAGACUGCACGGUUAAUGGAUACCAUGUUUCAGCUGGCACCUGGCUUAUUAUGAAUCUUCAUAAGAUUCAUCAUGAUCCACUUAUAUGGGCAAAUCCUUUUGAAUUUCAACCUGAAAGAUUUAUAACUACCCACAAAGACAUUGAUGUGAGGGGACAGAAUUUUGAACUAUUUCCAUUUGGAAGUGGUAGAAGAAUGUACCCCGGAGUUUCAUUUGCACUUCAAGUUUUACAGCUUACGUUGGCUAAUGUGUUGCAUUGGUUUGAGUUUGAAACCCCAUCAGGCAUAGCAGUCGAUAUGCGUGAAGGACUUGGGAUAAAGAGUUCUAAAGCAACUCCAUUAGAAGUUCAUAUAACUCCUCGCAUUCCUGCUUUUGUUUACAAUUCCACUAACUCCAUUAGAGCUUACCCUGGGUAAUUUGCUGCAUUGGUUCGAGUUUGAAACUCCAUCAAACAAUCCAGUCGAUAUGUCUGACGCAGUCAAAUUAAUGAGUCCUAAAGCAACUCCAUUAGAAGUUUAUAUAACCCAUCACAUUCCUACUUAUGUUUACCUAUAAUUAUAAUAAAUAAAUUUUAGUAUUAUUACUAUAUAUAUCUUUUUGCUGAUUUAAUAUAUUUAUUUAUUUUGAAUAAAUAAUUUUAUUCAAAACAUGCAUUAUCAAUAAUUGUGUUGAAAGAACAUUUCAACAUACUAAAGCAUAUGAGAACGAAAGUAGAUUGGAACCUUACCCCUGUAUUGGUGGAUAUCAAUGUAAUACUAAAGCAUCAAGUUGUAGUUGUUUAUUGGGCUCUUCUAAGAAAAAUUCACAAGUUCAUUUCAUAAAGAUAUAAUUUUAGCUAAAUCAUAAAUUUAGAGUUGUUAUGCCUCCGCUCCUUGGAUCUACUCCUCACGAAAGCUCCACCUAUUACUCGGACAUAUCUUUCAGGAACAGUCCUUGACCUAACAGUCAUAUUAAUUUAUGUGAGCUCUACUCAUUAAUCUUCACUACUCAACCUCACUAUCGUGUUUCAUCUAAAGUGAUUGAAAGCACGUCUAAUCGCCACCCUACCAACCUAAACCUAUGGUGACAAACCAUUUUAUUGGAUACCUACAAUCUUUGACUUUUCAAAGAUGAAUAGUGGUAGAAAGUUGGCACCGAAAGGCACCGAAAGUAGAAAGUAAGAUUGGUUGGCAAGUUGGGUUAAAAGUUGGCAUGGGAUAAUUGCAAUUUUGGUCCCUAAUUGUAUAGGGACAUUGCAAGUUGAUCCUUAAACCUCAACUAUAAAUAGGCCUAACCAUCUCUUACUUUCUUCAUCCCACACUUGCCAUUCUCUACUUAAGGCAAUUGUUCUCUCUCCCUAUUUGUAAACUUUCACUUGUAUUUUUGGAGUGAAAUAUAUUUGGUAGUGCCCGAGGACGUAGGCAAAAUUUGCUGAACCUCGUUAAAAUUCUAGUGUUCUUUAUUUUUGUUCUAGCAUAUUUUGCAAGUGUCAUUGUAGUGAUUUAUUGUGCUAUUAAAUUACGAUAGAGGGAUAUUCUGGCUAGGAAAGAUCUGGUAUGUAAGCGAUCCUCGUGAUCCACCUCUCUUUCCUGGGAAUUGAACUUAGUGUGAUUUUUCAGUACAAUAAUUUUACUCUUUCACACGCUUCCGCGCAACAAUUGGUACCAGAGCCAGGUUCGUACUUGGGGAAUACGACCGCUUACGGUACUAUUCACGUAUACGGCACUAUUUACGUAUACGGUACUAUUCACAUAUACGGAACUAUUCACGUAUACGAUACUGUUCACGUAUACAGUAGUUGGGAUUGAGGAGAAAAAUGACAGCAGCAUCGUCAUCAGCAAGGACUACUGUGACAAAUGCAAAAUUUGAAGUAGAGAAAUUUGACGGUACCAAUAAUUUUGGUAUGUGGCAGUGUGAGAUCCUGGAUGUCUUAUGUCAGCAAGAGCUGGAUAUAGCCCUUGAAGAAAAACCUGACAAGAUGGAUGACAAGGAGUGGGCCAAGAUCAAUAGACAGGCGUGUGGAACAAUCCGCCUAUGUUUGGCCAAAGAGCAAAAGUACUCCGUCAUGAGGGAGACAUCAGCGAAGAAGCUGUGGGAUACAUUGGAAGAAAAGUUUCUAACGAAAAGUCUUGAAAAUAGGCUUUAUAUGAAAAAGAAACUUUAUCGAUUCACGUAUGCACCCGGUAUGUCGAUGAAUGACCAUGAGAACUCAUUCAAUAAAAUUUUAGCAGACUUGCUAAAUUUGGAUGAGAAAUUUGAAGAUGAAGACAAGGAAUUAUUGUUGUUGAAUUCCCUUCCUGAUGAAUAUGAUCAUCUUACCACCACAUUGCUUCAUGGGAAGGACACGAUCACAUUUGAUGCAGUCUGUAGUGCGUUGUAUAGAUCUGAGACUCGAAAGAAAGAUAAAAGAUAUCACAGAGAUACAACUGCAGAAGUCUUAACAGUAAGAGGUCGUUCACACAGCAGCAAACCUGGUAGAAGGGGUAAGUCCAAAGGGAGACCCGCCAAAGAUGAAUGUGCCUUUUGUCGUGAGAAAGGGCAUUAGAAAAAGAAUUGUCCUAAGCUACAAAAGGGCAAGGCUAUUUCUAAUACAUGUGUAGCGGAGCAUGAUGAGGAGUCAGACUUUAGCUUGGUUGGCAUGGCAAUGGCAUGUCAAACGGAUGAGUGGAUUUUGGAUUCAGGAUGUACUUACCAUAUGUGUCCUAAUAAGGACUGGUUUUCUAGUCUUAAAGAGCUAGAAGGUGGAAUUGUUCUUAUGGGCAAUGAUAGUGCUUGUAAGACAAUGGGAGUGGGUACAGUCCAAUUGAAAAAUCACGACGGCUCAAUCCAAGUCUUGACAGAUGUUCGCUACGUACCUAGCUUGAAGAAAAAUCUCAUCUCAUUAGGGGCCCUAGAAUCUAAAGGGCUCACAAUCACUUUGAGAGAUGGAUUACUAAAGGUAGUAGCUGGGGUAUUGACGGUGAUGAAAGGCACUAGAAGAAAUAACUUGUACUAUUUAAAUGGAAGUACAGUUAUUGGAUCAACAUCAACAGCUUCUGCGAAAGAUGCAGAUUCAGAGGCUACCAGGUUAUGGCAUAGGCGAUUGGGACAUGCUGGUGAAAAAACUUUGCAGACUUUGGCGAAGCAAGGCUUGUUGAAAGGUGCAAAUUCUUGCAAAUUGGAAUUCUGUGAACAUUGUGUUCUGGGCAAGCAGACGAGGGUAAAAUUUGGUUCAGCAAUUCACAAUACGAAAGGAAUUCUGGACUAUGUUCACAGUGAUGUGUGGGGACCUACCAAAGUGGCUUCUUUGGGAGGUAUGCACUAUUUUGUCACUUUUCUUGAUGAUUAUUCAAGAAAAGUAUGGGUGUAUCUAAUGAAAAGAAAAAAUGAAGUUUUGGAUGCAUUUCUGAAGUGGAAGAAGAUGGUGGAGACUCAGACAGGUCGAAAGGUCAAACGACUUCGAUCAGAUAAUGGUACUGAGUACAAAAAUGAUCCAUUUCUACAAGUAUGUCAAGAUGAGGGCAUUGUGCGACACUUCACUGUUCGAGAUACACCACAGCAGAAUGGGGUGGCAGAACGCAUGAAUCAGACUAUACUGGAGAAAGUUCGAUGUAUGUUGUCCAAUGCUGGAUUGGGCAAGGAAUUUUGGGCUGAGGCAGUUACAUAUGCGUGCCAUCUAAUUAACCGAUUGCCAUCAGCUGCAAUAAAUGGAAAAACUCCUAUGGAGAUGUGGACUGGUAAACCUGCUACUGAUUAUGAUUCUUUACAUGUUUUUGGUUCCACUGCAUAUUAUCAUGUAAAAGAAUCUAAGUUAGACCCAAGAGCAAAGAAAGCAUUAUUCAUGGGUAUAACUGGUGGUGUAAAAGGAUACCGUCUCUGGUGUCCUGAUACAAGGAAGAUUGUUUUCAGUAGAGAUGUAACUUUUGAUAAAUCAACCAUGAUGAAGAACGAGAAUUCACAAAAGGAUGACAAAACCAGUAGUACUUUGCAGCAGGUGGAGUUUGAAAAGGUUAAUGAUGAUCUAGCUAAUAUUGAAAGAACAAAUGAUGAAGAAGUUUCGACCCAAGAACUUCUACAGCAACAAGAUUCAAUUGCAUAUAGGAGGCCAAGAAGAGAGAUUCGUAAGCCUGCUCGCUUUGAUGAUAUGGUGGCCUAUGCACUUCUAAUUGCAGAUGAUGAUGUUCCUUCCACUUACACAGAAGCAAUAAGUAACUCUGAUGGUGUAAAGUGGAAGCAAGCUAUGAAUGAAGAAAUGCAGUCUCUUCAUAAAAAUAGGACUUGGGAGUUGGUGAGACUGCCCAAGGGAAAGAAGGCAAUUGGAUGCAAAUGGGUAUAUGCAAAGAAGGAAGGAUUUCCUGGUAAAAAUAAAAUUCGAUACAAGGCUAGAUUGGUAGCAAAGGGUUAAGCUCAGAAAGAAGGAAUAGACUACAAUGAAGUGUUUUCUCCAGUUGUGAAGCAUUCGUCUAUUCGAAUUUUACUAGCCUUGGUUGCGCAAUACGAUCUUGAACUAGUUCAGCUUGAUGUAAAGACAGCAUUUUUACACGGUGAUUUGGAAGAGGAAAUCUAUAUGACUCAGCCUGAUGGAUUCAAUGUUGCUGAUAAAGAAAAUUGGGUUUGCAAACUGACAAAGUCACUUUAUGGAUUGAAACAAUCUCCGAGGCAGUGGUACAAGCGAUUUGAUCAGUUCAUGAAAGGGCAAAGGUACACAAGAAGUAAAUUUGAUCAUUGCGUAUAUUUUCAGAAGCUACAAGAAGGAACUUUCAUAUACUUGCUCUUAUAUGUUGAUGAUAUGCUGAUAGCAUCUAAGAGCAAAGUUGAGAUUGAGAGAUUGAAGACUCAACUCAAUCUCGAGUUUGAGAUGAAAGAUCUAGGUGAAGCUAAGAAGAUUCUUGGCAUGGAAAUAUGUAGAGAUAGAGCUCAUGGCAGAGUUAGCUUGUCUCAGAAGCAGUAUUUGAAGAAAGUACUACAGCAGUUUGGUAUGAACGAGCAUACCAAACCUGUAAGUACCCCGUUGGCUUAUCAUUUCAAGCUUUCUGCACAACUAUCUCCUUCAACGAAUACGGAACGAGAAUAUAUGUUGCAAGUUUCGUAUUCUAAUGCAGUGGGUAGCUUGAUGUAUGCAAUGGUGUGUACAAGACCCGACAUUUCACAGGCAGUUAGUAUAGUGAGUAGGUAUAUGCAUAAUCCUGGAAAAGGACAUUGGCAAGCUGUGAAAUGGAUUCUACGGUAUAUUCAGAAAACCGUGGAUGUUGGAUUACUGUUCAAGCAGGAUAAUACACUUGGUAAAGGUGUUAUUGGGUACGUUGAUUCUGACUAUGCCGGUGAUUUGGACAAGCGAAGAUCAACCAUCGGUUAUGUGUUUACACUUGCUGGAGGACCAAUAAGUUGGAAGUCUACACUACAGUCUACAGUUGCAUUGUCAACCACAGAAGCCGAGUACAUGGCUGUAACAGAGGCUGUAAAGGAGGCUAUUUGGUUACAAGGUAUGGCUAAAACCUUGGGGUUGGUUCAGGAGCAUAUUAACGUGUAUUGUGAUAGUCAAAGUGCUAUUCAUUUAGCAAAGAAUCAAGUCUAUCAUGCACGUACAAAACAUAUCAACGUACGAUUCCAUUUUGUGCGGGAAAUUAUUGAAGAGGGGAAAAUUUGUCUUCAGAAGAUCAAGACUGCAGAUAAUCUCGCAGAUAUGAUGACCAAGGUGGUAACAACAACCAAGUUCGAACAUUGUUUGAACUUGAUCAAUAUCCUGCAAGUUUAACAGUUGAAGAAGGCACUAUCAAGUAUUGUUGUCAAAGGAAGAAAGAAUUGUGUGAAGAUAAGAUUAUCCUAAUCAAAUCUUCAAGGUGGAGAUUAUUGGAUACCUACAAUCUUUGACUUUUCAAAGAUGAAUAGUGGCAGAAAGUUGGCACCGAAAGGCACCGAAAGUAGAAAGUAAGAUUGGUUGGCAAGUUGGGUUAAAAGUUGGCAUGGGAUAAUUGCAAUUUUGGUCCCUAAUUGUAUAGGGACAUUGCAAGUUGAUCCUUAAACCUCAACUAUAAAUAGGCCUAACCAUCUCUUACUUUCUUCAUCCCACACUUGCCAUUCUCUACUUAAGGCAAUUGUUCUCUCUCCCUAUUUGUAAACUUUCACUUGUAUUUUUGGAGUGAAAUAUAUUUGGUAGUGCCCGAGGACGUAGGCAAAAUUUGCUGAACCUUGUUAAAAUUCUAGUGUUCUUUAUUUUUGUUCUGCAUAUUUUGCAAGUAUCAUUGUAGUGAUUUAUUGUGCUAUUAAAUUACGAUAGAGGGAUAUUCUGGCUAGGAAAGAUCUGGUAUGUAAGCGAUCCUCGUGAUCCACCUCUCUUUCCUGGGAAUUGAACUUAGUGUGAUUUUUCAGUACAAUAAUUUUACUCUUUCACACGCUUCCGCGCAACACAUUUGGCCCAUUAUUCCUGACUUGCUAAUAGAGACGUGACAUAUGGCAUCUCAAGAUUGUAGCUAAGGGUUUAAAAUCUCUCAAAUCUGACUGGAAAAAGGGACUCUCUCUCUUUCUCUCCGCUCCUUUCAUUCCUCCUUCAACAACCUAACCCGAUAUCAACACCAUCUUCGUCUGAACACCUCCUAUGGUGGUUGUCCGCCUUGUACCCAACGAGGUGAACCGCCUAAUUCCACUGUCAUUUCCAUCUUAUCAAAACUAAGCAUUAACAAUUGAUACAGUAAGUGUAGACUCACUCCUAUCAUGAUAUUUCUCUAAUACCAAACUCAAAACCAAAUCUAAAAUAUUAUCCAAACUCAACCAAAUCAACACGAGAACUACUACUAUCAUCCUUACAACUAUUAUGCUAAACGAUAUUCGUGUCAACAAAGAUAUUAUAAAGCCUACCCAAACUAUUAAAUUAGACAAUUUGAAUUAAAAGUUGAUUUGAAAUUAAAUGCUUUUAUUGUAUGUGUCAUUAUAUGGAGCUUUCUGCAUUAGCAUGUAACUUGUUAGAUGGAGCUUUCUAGCAGGCAGGGGCUUGAGCUUGAUCCCCACUUGGCUAAAGGGUAUAGUUCCCUUUUCAAUCCCUUUGAAAAUUAAUUCUUAAAUAUUAUUCUUAAAAUUAGUCCACAAGCUUAUCUUACUAAAAAAAAAUUAAAUUGUCCAAAAAAAAAAUAAAAGUGUAGGAAUUAGUUUUAGCAAAUAACAUAGAAAAAUUACGUUAAAAGAAAUGGAGAAGGAAGGAAAAUAGAGGGAGAAGCAAAAGAGAAUGAAAAAGAAAAGAAAAAAAAGAAAAAAUAGCAUAAAAGAAAAAAUGAAAUUGCUAAAAAUGAAAAAAAACGGGGACCGAUUAUAGAAAUUAACCUAAAAUUUUUGUUUGUAAUGAUGAUUUAAUGUGUCACAUCAGCUUAUCGUUAUAUCGUUAAUGACAAUCAACGGCUCAGUGACUAAAAUAUUACAGUGUGAUAACUUAAGUGACUAAAAUGUAACCUAAAGUGAAAAAAAUGACUAUUUUAGUAGUUUACCCAUAAUAUUACUUAUUUUAGUUGCGGAAUGACAUUCCUAUAAUUUUCUAACCAAGUUAGUGACUUAUUGACUCAUACACCAACUCGAUCCGGAGUUUAAUAAUAGUAUAGAUAUACAAUUGAUAGAACUAAUGGAGUGUGCAUAAUAAAAUUAAAAUAUAUACAAAUAUCAAAAUAAUAUUUUAGUUGAGUGGUAAAUUAAAUGUUUUACGAAUGCAAUCGGUGUGAGUUUGAAUCCCAUCAUAUCCAUAUUUUUAUUAAUUUUUUACAUAAAAAGAUUAAAAUACCCUCAUAGUUUAAUUAGGAAUUGAUGCCCAAUUAACUCGUGACACCAACUCAACAAAAAAUUUAAAAAUAAUGUAGAUUUAAUUAAUUAUUAUCAAAAUUAACUCAAUAUAAAAUAGUGUAAAAUCGGAAAAUAUCCGAAUUUAGAUUAAAAAAUAUGAAUAGAAAAAUUAUCCAAAACUUUAAUAUUUCCGAACACUGCCAAGCUUCAAUUGGCUAGGUAUGCUGUUGUUUGUCAAAAGUAGAAAACGUGGGUGGAUUUUGCGUGAUCCUUUAAGAUAUGAAAGGGAUUGAGCAAUCUUACAAUUAUAUCAACAUUUAGUUAAAUUACAUGAUUAAUCUCUAUAUUAUGAAUUUAAUUCUUGUAUUUUAAUUUAUUUAAUUUUCAAUUUUAAAAUUUUAAUUCUCAUCAAACGAUAAUUAUUACAUUCAUUAAGUUAAGUUUUGCUAUUUUCAAAAUCUGAUGCGAAAAACAUAUUACCAUAUAUAUAAUGCUAUGUCUUAUUAUUUCCAAAUAUUACUUGCUAAAAAUAUAUUCAGUUAAUGGAUUUAUGACGGUCAUUUACGUCAAGAAUAAAAUUUUAAUUUUCAAAAAGUACAGGGACUUAGAAUGAUCUAAUUGGAGAAUAUGGACUAAAUUUACAAUCGUAAACAUAAUACAAGACUAAUAAUUGAAUUUAAACAAACGGAUUUAACUACUAUUUAUUAGGGUUAAGACUAGAUUUUUAAAAUUUAAAAAAGUUAAGAGACUAGAAUUCACCAAUUCAAAAAGUAUAAUGAUCAAAAUUAAUCAAAUUAAAAUGUAUGGGUUAAAUCUGUAACUUUUACAAAGUAGAGGGACUAAUAACAAAAUUUAACCUUAAUUAAAGAAAUUAUUGUUCCUAGAGUGUGGGGGAAUAUACAUAUUUGGGUAGACAGAGGUCACAGUUUUCAUUUUUAGGCACCAAAAAUAAAAAUUUUACAACUUUGGCACUCCUAAUUUAUCCUUUUCAUUUUGUUUUUUAGAAUUAAUUUUUAGAAAUUAAAUGACAAAAAAAAAAAAAAAAACAAGAACACUUGUUGAUGACGGUACUGUCUUGACAUCCCCUAGCCCUUUAAAUCCAACUCCCUCAUCUCUGCUGCUCACAUUCCAUUUCUUAUCUUAAUAUUGAAGUGGGAAUCGGGCGAUGGAUUAUUUCCAUUCACUCACAGCAACUUCAACGGUUGCAAUCGUUGCUUUUCCACUACUCCUUUUCUCUUUUCUGUCGAUCUCAAGAAGAAACACAAACUCGAAGAAAACAGCACCAGAAGCUGUCGAUAUGUGUGAAGCACUUGGGAUAUCAAGUUCUAAAGCAACUUCAUUAGAAGUUUAUAUAACCCCUCGUCUUCCUUUUUUUUUUUAUGAUUCCAUUAACUAAUUGGUUUUUUAAUUUUAUUAUAAAAUGAGUAGAAUUCAACAAAUUUCUAAGGUACUAUACUUGUCAUUUAAUAAUACCAUAUGCAACUUUUGGUAUUUUUUCUUUCCUGAAAAAAAAGUAGAAUUCAAUAAAUUUCAAAUAUUUCAAGGAAAAGUGGUUUGCCCAAGUAAUGUUAGUCAAUCUAAUGGUAAAGACAUGAAUGGCCCUUGCACGAUACCUUAAUCAGUCCAAUUCAAGGAGGCGUAAAGUAUCGCACUACAUGUCAAAUCAAGUCCAGCUCUUAAUGACAUUUUGAUUGAUCAGUGUUUUCAAAACAAGAAAAAUGGAGAGAAAAUUGAUAAUGGAAUUGGAUUGAUCAUUGAUGUAUGAUUUGGGGUGACGGGAAAAAGGCUACUUCACUUUACAUAAAAAAGAUCACGAUCUUUAUAAGAUUCAUCAUGAUCCAUUUAUAUGGGCAAAUCCUUUUGAAUUUCAACUUGAAAGAUUUAUAACUAGUCACAAAGACAUUGAUGUGAGAGGACAGAAUUUUGAACUGAUUCUAUUUGGAAGUGGUAGAAGAAUGUUCCCUGGAGUUUCAUUUGCACUUCAAAUUUUGCUUUUAACACUAGUCACUAGCUAAUGUAUUGCAUUGGUUUGAGUUUGAGACUCCAUCAAACGAAGCUGUCGAUAUGCGUGAAGCACUUGGGAUAACGAAUUCUAAAGCAACUCCAUUAGAAGUUCAUAUAACUCCUCGCCUUCUUGCUUUUGUUUACAAUUCCACUAACUCCAUUAGAGCUUACCCUGGGUAAUUUGCUGCAUUGGUUCGAGUUUGAAACUCCAUCAAACAAUCUAGUCGAUAUGUCUGAAGCAGUCAAAUUAAUGAGUCCUAAAGCAACUCCAUUAGAAGUUUAUAUAACCCAUCACAUUCCUACUUAUGUUUACCUAUAAUUAUAAUAAAAAAAAUUUUAGUAUUAUUACUAUAUGUAUCUUUUUGCUGAUUUAAUAUAUUUAUUUAUUUUGAAUAAAUAAUUUUAUUCAAAACAUGCAUUAUCAAUAAUUGUGUUGAAAGAACAUUUCAACAUACUAAAGCAUAUGAGAACGAAAGUCGAUUGGAACCUUACCCCUGUAUUGGUGGAUAUCAAUGUACUACUAAAGCAUCAAGUUGGAGUUGUUUAUUGGGCUCUUCUAAGAAAAAAUCACAGAGUUCAUUUCAUAAAGAUAUAAUUUUAGCUAAAUCAUAAAUUUAGAGUUGUUAUGCCUUCGCUGCUUGGAUUUUGAACACCUCUAUAAUGGUUGUCUGCCUUGUAUCCCACGAGGUGAACUGCCUAAUUCCACUGUCAUUUUCGUCUUAUCAAAUCCAAGCAUUAACAAUUGAUAUAGUAAGUAUAGACUCACUCCUAUCGUGAUAUUUCUCUAAUACCAAACUCAAAACCAAAUCUAAAAUGUUAUCCAAACUCAACCAAAUCAACAUGAAAACUACUACUAUCAUCCUUACAACUAUUAUGCUAAACGAUAUUCGUGUCAACAAAGAUAUUAUAAAGCCUACCCAAACUAUUAAAUUAGACAAUUUGAAUUAAAAGUUGAUUUGAAAUUAAAUGCUUUUAUCGUAUGUGUCAUUAUAUGGAGCUUUCUACAUUAGCAUGUAACUUGUUAGAUGGAGCUUUCUAGCAGGCAGGGGCUUGAGCUUGAUCCCCACUUGGCUAAAGGGUAUAGUACCCUUUUCAAUCCCUUUGAAAAUUAAUUCUUAAAUAUUAUUCUUAAAAUUAGUCCACAAGCUUAUCUUACUCAAAAAAAUUUAAAUUGUCCAAAAAAAAAUAAAAGUGUAGGAAUUAGUUUUAACAAAUGGUAAACAUAGAAAACUUAAGUUAAAAGAAAUGGAGAAGGAAAGAAAAUAGAGGGAGAAGCAAAAGAGAAUGAAAAAAAGAAGAAGAAAAAAUAACAUGAAAGAAAAAAUGAAAUUGCUCAAAAUGAAAAAAUAUGGGGACCGAUAACAGAAAUUAACCUAAAAUUUUUGUUUGUAAUGAUGAUUUAAUGUGCCACAUCAGCUUACCAUUAUAUCGUUAAUGACAAUCAACGGCUCAGUGACUAAAAUGUUACAGUGUGAUAACUUAAGUGACUAAAAUGUAACUUAAAGUAAACAAAAAUGACUAUUUUAGUAGUUUAUCCAUAAUAUUACUUAUUUUAGUUACAGAAUGACAUUCCUAUAAUUUCCUAACCAAGUUAGUGACCGAUUGACUCAUACACCAACUCGAUCCGGAGUUUAAUAAUAGUAUAGGUAUACAACUGAUGGAACUAAUGGAGUGUGCAUAAUAAAAUUAAAAUAUAUACAAAUAUCAAAAUAAUAUUUUAGCUUAGUGGUAAAUUAAAUGUUUUACUAAUGCAAUCGGUGUGAGUUUGAAUCCCAUUGUAUCCAUAUUUUUAUUGAUUUUUUUACAUAAAAAGAUUAAAAUACCCUCAUAGUUUAAUUAGGAAUUGAUGCCCAAUUAACUUGUGACACCAACUCAACAAAAAAUUUAAAAAUAAUGUAGAUUUAAUUAAUUAUUAUCAAAAUAAACUCAAUAUAAAAUAGUGUAAAAUCAGAAAAUAUCCGAAUUUAGAUUAAAAAAAUAUGAAUAGAAAAAUUAUCCAAAACUUUAAUAUUUCCGAACACUGCCAAGCUUCAAUUGGCUAUGUAUACUAUUGUUUGUCAAAAGUAGAAAACGUGGGUGGAUUUUGCGUGAUCCUUUAAGAUAUGUAAGGGAUUCAGCAAUCUUACAAUUAUAUCAACAUUUAGUUAAAUUACGUGAUUAAUCUCUAAAUUAUGAAUUUAAUUCUUGUAUUUUAAUUUAUAUAUUUUUCAACUUUAAAAUUUUAGUUCUCAUCAAACAAUAAUUAUUACAUUCAUUAAGUUAAGUUUUGCUAUUUUUAAAAUCUGAUGCGAAAAACAUAUUACCAUAUAUAUAAUGCUAUGUCUUAUUAUUUCCAAAUAUUACUCACUAAAAAUAUAUUCAGUUAAUGGAUUUAUGACGGUCAUUUACGUCAAGAAUAAAAUUUUAAUUUUCAAAAAGUACAGGGACUUAGAAUGAUCUAAUUGGAGAAUAUGGACUAAAUUUACAAUCGUAAACAUAAUACAAGACUAAUAAUUGAAUUUAAACAAACGGAUUUAACUACUAUUUAUUAGGGUUAAGACUAGAUUUUUAAAAUUUAAAAAAGUUAAGAGACUAGAAUUCACCAAUUCAAAAAGUAUAAUGAUCAAAAUUAAUCAAAUUAAAAUGUAUGGGUUAAAUCUAUAACUUUUACAAAGUAGAGGGACUAAUAACAAAAUUUAACCUUAAUUAAAGAAAUUAUUGUUCCUAGAGUGUGGGGGAAUAUACAUAUUUGGGUAGACAGUCACAGUUUUCAUUUUUAGGCACCAAAAAUAAAAAUUUUACAACUUUGGCACUCCUAAUUUAUCCUUUUCAUUUUGUUUUUUAGAACUAGUUUUUAGAAAUUAAAUGACAAAAAAAAAAAAAAAACAAGAACACUUGUUAAUGAAGGUGCUGUGUUGACAUCCCCUAGCCCUUUAAAUCCAACUCCCUCAUCUCUGCUACUCACAUUCCAUUUUUUAUUGUUUAAAGGUGGCAACAACAGCAGCUACAUGCAAGAAACCAUGCAACGUGAACGUUGCAUGAAAAGAACCAAGAAUGCAGCAGAUGCAUGCUAGUGUCCAUGGUGUAAUUCGACAGCAGCAUGUUUUAUUUUGUUGAUUUUUGAUAGUUAAUGCUGUAAUCAUUUUAUGCUUUGGUCAGCUAAGAUUAAUUGUGUGCUUAGCUGAUUUUGUAGUCUUUUUUAGGUUAUCAUUAGGUUGAUGUAAACAUUUAGACACUUGCACAAGCAAGCUUUGUUUUCUUUCUAUGUAUUUUGAUCUAUUUAUGUAUGUAACCAUGUUCUUAUUCGGGUAAUGAAGAAAUCACCUUGUUCAUUCAAAUUUCUUUGAUUUUUGCUUCUGUUUUAAUCUUUCAAACACUUCAGCACCUUCUUGCUGAGUUAAAAACCAACACUUAUCUUAAUAUGGAAGUGGGAAUCUGGCAUCCAUUUACUCACAGCAACUUCAACGGUUGCAAUCGUUGCUUUUCCACUACUACUUCUUUUCUCUUUUCUGUCGAUCUCAAGAAGAAACACAAACUCGAAGAAAACAGCACCAGAAGCUGUCGAUAUGUGUGAAGCACUUGGGAUAUCAAGUUCUAAAGCAACUUCAUUAGAAGUUUAUAUAACCCCUCGUCUUCUUCUUUUUUUUUUAUGAUUCCAUUAACUAAUUGGUAUUUUAAUUUUAUUAUAAAAUGAGUAGAAUUCAAUAAAUUUCUAAGGUACUAUACUUGUCAUGGAAUAAUAGCAUAUGCAACUUUUGGUAUUUUAACUUUCUUUAAAAAAGAAAAAGGUAGAAUUCAAUAAAUUUUAAAUAUUUCUUCUGAUUAAAAUUUAUCAUUAUUUCAUGGAAAUUGUUAGGAUCGUCCCGAUUAAGCAACGAACAAAUAAAAAUAGUAGAAGAAAUUGAGAAGAUGAACACACAAAUUUAACGUGGAAAAACCCCUCAAAAGAGGAUAAAAAACCACAGGCAAAGAUAAUUUUACUAUAAUGGCAAAAGAAUGAAGAGUACAAAAGAUGGAGAUAAAAACUAAACCCCGAAAACCCGAAAAACAAAGAACUCUCAAACGUAAACACAAAAUUCUCUGAAUGUGUUAUGAGUUCUAAUCUAAUGGGUGUCUCUUAAUUCUAAGAUUGUAAAGGAGCCUAUUUAUAGGCUAAAUUAGUAAGUCAAAUAAACUAUACUAAUAAAUGCUAAAUAUAUUAUACUAAUAAAUACUAAAUCUUCUAGAAAGAAAAUAUAUUUUUGUUUAACUUGACUUGCAAGCAAUCUCUUAGAAUUUGGGUCACACAAUUCUAACAAUUUCCACCUUGACACAAAUUCUUUCAAUGCCAUCUUUGCCAAAACCCGCCACGGGCCUAUCUUGAACUAUGCAGGGAAUUAACUGAGUCGAAUCUAUGCUUAGAAGGUGGAAGACUUCUAGCCUUCGACUUGUGCACUGCCAAAUCAAAACUAACCCGGGUCUGAUUUUCACGAAUACAGUGCCCUAACUUUUCAAAACCUGCAUCCAAAAGAGAACCUCUCUUCAACGAAACGGUCAUACCUUUUUCCCUCCUAUGACCAAGUUGCCUCCGCUUCAAAUGAGCUGACUUUGACUCCGUAACGGACGAGGGACGUCCGAUUUCACCGGUCACUGUAGAACCUUCCAGAAUAUAAAGACUGCCGGUUUUUUUACCUUUUAACAAAACGAGAGCUCCACGAGAUACUUUAAUGUCGCUCGACUCGAUGUUGAUUCUGCAUCCUUUCAAGUCUAAAAUACUCAAGGAGAUGAGAUUCUUUCGUAAAUCAGGUUCAUACCUGACAUCUGAGAGUGUCCUAAUCGUCCCAUCGUGUAUCCUAAUUUUAACAGUACCAAUACCGAUUAUUUUACUAGAUGAAUCGUUUCCCAUGUGCACAACUCCACCUUCAACUGAACUGUAUGUGGAGAACCAUUCUCUAUUGGGACACAUGUGGAAAGAACAUCCUGAAUCUAGGAUCCACUCAGACGUAAGCUUGGAGUUAUCGCUCGUUGACACUAACAAGAAAUCAUCACCGCCUUCAUCGACCAAAUUAGCACCAACUAAAUCUUCCUCGUUACUCUCAGCAGCUCUUUUAUUUCGCAGUUUAUAACAAUCUGCUUUGACGUGACCUAACUUUUUGCAAUAGCGACACCUUUUGUCUCGUUUCUUUGAUGCUACCAAAACGGAAGCUUGUCUAUCUGCUUUGCUAUUCAAAUCAAACUCAUUGUCGAGUUUGUCUCUACUCAACAAAUGACCCUUCACAUCUUCGAACGAGAGUUUGUCUCUACCAUAAAUCAGGGUCUCCCUGAAAGACUUGUAUGAAGAGGGUAAAGAGCACAAUAAUAGCAUAGCUUGAUCUUCAUCGUCAAUAUGAACCUCGACGUUCUUUAAAUCAUUUAAAAGAGUAAUGAAUUGACUGAUGUGAUCUUUAAGAAGCUCACCUUCGUUCAUGCGAAACGUAAAUAGACGUUGUUUCAACACUAAACGGUUAGCCAGAGACUUAGUUGCAUAAAGAGUUUCUAACCUUUUCCACAAGGCGAAUAAGGUCUUCUCCAUCAAUACCUCCUGCAAUACUGUAUUCGUGAGGCACAACUGGAUUGCAGACAAGGCAUUUUCAUCAAGCUCUUCCCAUUCUGUUUGAUUUAGAUUCUCAGGCUUUUUCCCUGUAACAACCUUUUUCAAGCCAUUUUGAACUAGAAUUGCCAUCAUCUGAACUUGCCACAGAUUGAAAUUUGUCUCACCAUCGAACUUCUCAAUUUCAAACCUUGUUGCUGCCAUCUCUGACCGGGCUGAUCUAUGAAAGUUAAACUAGCUCUGAUACCACUUGUUAGGAUCGUCCCGAUUAAGCAACGAACAAAUAAAAAUAGUAGAAGAAAUUGAGAAGAUGAACACACAAAUUUAACGUGGAAAACCCCCUCAAAAGAGGAUAAAAAACCACAGGCAAAGAUAAUUUUACUAUAAUGGCAAAAGAAUGAAGAGUACAAAAGAUGGAGAUAAAAACUAAACCCUGAAAACCCGAAAAACAAAGAACCCUCAAACGUAAACACAAAAUUCUCUGAAUGUGUUAUGUGUUCUAAUCUAAUGGGUGUCUCUUAAUUCUAAGAUUGUAAAGGAGCCUAUUUAUAGGCUAAAUUAGUAAGUCAAAUAAACUAUACUAAUAAAUGCUAAAUAUAUUAUACUAAUAAAUACUAAAUCUUCUAGAAAGAAAAUAUAUUUUUGUUUAACUUGACUUGCAAGCAAUCUCUUAAAAUUUGGGUCACACAAUUCUAACAGAAAUUAAUUCUUUUAAAGUUCGUGAUAGUCGUUCCUAUAAUAUUUUUUCAAAAAUUUAAACUUAAAAUUUUGAUUUGGAAUUAUAUUAUGUCUUAUCAGGUUUUUUUUUGGUCCUUUAAUGCUGAGUUUAGUAGAGUAUUGAUUGCUUUACUCUCAAAUAUUGAUCGACCACAAUGCCCCUUUCAAUUUCGGUCAAUUAAUUUGUGCAACAUUCUAAAUUAUUGUGAGUCAUAUUAGACCGUUCUUGAAUAAUUGGAUUUUUUGAUCUAGCGUAUCUUUACAUUACGUAAAAAUGGUAAAUGCAUAAUGAAAACUUUUAAUGAAUGGUCAAAAGAAACAAAAGAGAAGUAGAUUGCACGAACUGCAAUACGCAAUAAAUGUAUCUUUUUGAGAAGGCAACAUAAGAUUAAUUUAAUUUAUUUGUAUUAUUGAUGUGACAUAUAAUUAUUGAUGAGACAUAUAACUAUAUGUGAUGCAUUGUUUAGGCAAUAAAUAGGUUGCAUUAUAGUACAUAUGUGGUAUGCAUGUUGACACUAUUUUUUUGAUAAAACAGGGUCGACGUUGGUUCGAAAAUGAAAAUUAAAAAGAGGAGUCGCCACCAAUCUUUUUUGAUGAUGUGUGAUUGGGUCACCUCGAAAAGUGGUUAUUUUUAAUAAGCGAUUUGAUUUUAUUAAAAUAACGAUUUUGGUCCACGAAAUUCAAAAAAACUGGUUCGGGAGUCAGUUACGUACGAGGAAGGAUUAGCACCCUCGUGAGGCCAAAAAAUUUGUACCUAGUUAAUUAAUUAAUGUCUUAAUGUCGAAAAUUAAAAACUUUGAAGAGAUUUAAAAUACGAUCUUUUAUAAAAAAAACUUAUAUAAAUCAAAUUACCCGUUAAGACCCUCUCAUUUCGGAGAGAGAAAAUGUCACACCCAAUGAGUUAGGGCAUGAUAUUUCAACUCCUCAAAAAAUGAGCUUGUCCUAAAAACUCAUGCAAUAAAAUUUAAAAGGAUAUUCAAUUGUUUAAGUCAGAUGAGGAAAUUGUAGCCCAAUACGUUAGGGCACAAUUUUUUAAAAUUCCAAACAUUGAAUAUUGUCUUUAUUUUUUAGAAAAAUCCUCAUCUCGAGAAAACAACAUGUCGUAUCCAAUGCAUUAGGACACAAUGUAUCGAAUUCCCGAUAAUGAACUUUUUAUUUAUGUGUUUUGAUUAAAGAAUAUUCUCGAUUAUUUGGAUUCAACGAGGAAAAUUGGAUCCCAAUACGUUAGGGCUCAAUCCUUUCGAAGAUCCCAAAUACUGAAUAUUGCGUUAUCUUUACUUAAAACACAUUUAUUUUAGUUUUAGAAAGAUAUUUGGUUAUUUAGAUUCAACGCGAGAAAAAUCGAAACCCAAUAAGUUAGGGCACAACUUCUCGAAUCUCAAAAUACGUAACUUUACUUAUUUUAAAGUCAUAAUUUAUGCAUAGGGUAGAAUUAAUGUAACAUAAUUUCAUGAUAAAAUGUAAAAAUAAAUCACGGUACUAAUAUACAUGACAAAAUAUUAACGAAUGCGAUUAUAGACAACAAAUAAUAAUAGAAAAAAUGAAAAUAAAACAAGAUAAAUAAUGAAAAAAAGUACAAAUGAAUCAAUUAUAUAAGAAAAAUAUGUAGAUAAACAAAUGAAAAACUAAAAAAAAUUGAAAAUAAGCAAACAAAUAAAAAGACAAAGAAAUAUUAAAUAAAACUAAAAAAGAUAAAUAUAAUAACAGUAAUAAUGAUAAUAAUAAUAACAAUAGUAGAAAUCUUAAAGCUUAAAGAUUAUAUAAAAUAAUAUAAACAAAUAAAAUAAAUAUAUUUAAUAUUUAGGUAAAUAAAUACAUAACAAAAAUAGCAAAAAAAAGGAUUAAAUUGAACUCUAAAACAAAAUUCGGGGGCAAAUUAGAAAUAAAUAAAAGAGAGAGGACCAAAUUGAACGUGUAGAUAACGAGGGACUAAAUGGGCAAUAAUCCCCCACCCUCCAAAACACACAGUUCCAUUGAGACCAAAUUGUAAGCGCAACAAAUUGUGGGGUAAAAUUGAAAAAAAAAUACUUGAUUAAAAACAUUAAAAAGCGGAAGGGCUGAAUGCGCAAAUAGACCUUUCCACAAAAACACACGGAUCCUCUUGCGGGUCGGGUCAGUGCGCGGGUUGAGCACGAAACGGCGUCGUUUUGGUGCCUGGGCUUGGCGCUCAAAACGACAUCGUUUUGACCCUCUAUAAAAGUUAAAAUUUUCUAAAAAAAAUUAUUUUUCCCCUUUGCUUCAAAAUUUUUUUGAAAAUGCUCUCAAUCCCUCUCUCCCUCUCCGGGCAUCGGCCCAAAAUCCGGCCAUAGGCCACUGCUCUUACCGCUAGUUGCCGGUGACGGCUCCGUCGUACACAGUGGCCGAAAAGUCGAAAAAUUUCUCUUUUUCUUCCAGCACACCUCCUCAGCUCCCUGAGCACUCCGGCGACGGCAAAAGGGAAAAGAGCCAUAUUUCGAAAUAAUAAAAAACAUAAAAAUAAAAUAAAACGAAAACAAAAAUAAAAAUAAAAGGUCACAUUUAGUUUUUUUUAAUCCUUUUUUGAAUCUAUUUUUUUUAUUUCUCAAAAAAAAUCCCCAUUUAAAGUGGCUUAUCAUCUUUUAUAGCCGAUUACAAGCUUCAUUUUUUAAUAUUCUUGUCACUUCAGUUGCAGGCACAAGUAGGCGGGGCAGGUGAGUGGCGGAGCAGGUGGCGCUGCAGCGGCAGCAGAGGGGUCAGAAGACCAAGGGUCAAAAUACCCUAGGUGCGGCGCCUAGGGUUCUUUUGUUUUCUGCUAGGUUUUAUUAUUAUUAUUUUGGAUUUGGGCCAUUCAGGUUUUGGGCUUAUGGUUUGCAUUUGGACUGGUCUUGUAAUUGGGCUCGGGUUUUAAAUUUUGUUUAGGGUCUAUUGAUUGGGCUUCUGGGUUAGGUCUAGGUGGGUUGGUAUUUGGGCUUGGCAAUUGUAAUUGGGUUGUUUUUGUUUUGCUGGUAUGAGCCAGGGCGAAAUUGGCCUAUAACAAUGCAUUUUGAUUGCUUUUGUAGGAGUGUUUGUUGAUAUAAUUCUAUUUUGUAUUUUUACACUCUUGUGGUAUGGAUUUUAUUGGAGAAUAAUCCUUGUUGUAAGUAAGGUUGCUUGAGGCGAAUGAUUGUAAUAUUAAGAGUAUUUUGUUGGGACUGCAAUUAUCCAUUGUAUAAUAGUUAGUUUGGACUUUACUAAUAGGGUUCUAAAUCCAUUUUUAAAUAAAAACAUUUAUUGACUAAUGUUCUGCAGACUCGAAUUAAUAUAUCCAAACUGCGUUAACAAACAUCACGAUUUGGGCGUUUGAAUAGUGGUAAAGAAAAUUAAUUAGUUAAUCGUUUGAAGACAUUUGACUUCAGUUUGGGUUGAUUGAAAGUGUAGGUAUCUUCUUGGAAGAGUAUUAUCAUUUGGACUCUUUCUAAACCUCAUAACAUCAACUUAUGAUAUCAACUCGAUCAGAAAUUUAAAUAAUAAUAUAAAUUUGAUUAAUUAUAAUCAAAAUUAACUCAAUAUAAAACCAAGAAAAUAUCCGAAAAAAAUCCAAGAUAAUUUCAAGAAAAAUCCCAUGCAUGUGGAUACGAUGUUUUAAAGUCCCAAAACUGAAAAUUUUGGGCACCGAAAAUAAAAAAAUUUGCAACUUAGGCACUAUUGUUACAUAAUUUUAUCAUUUUAGUCACUAUCAUUAUAUCCUUUUAUCAUUUUAGCAACUCGCCUUUAAUUUUCCAUUAAAUAUAUUUAUUUUAGUCACCCAAAUUUAGAAAGUUUUUAUUUUGGUCACUCAUUAAGUUUUUAUUUUGGUCACUCAUUUUAUCUUUUUAAUUUCUUUUAAUUUUUUAAUUUUUAAGGAUCAGUUUUAAUUUUUUUUCAGUAAAGGAGAAAAACUGAAAAUUUAGAGGAAAAUUCAGGUUAAAAAUUUCUUUAUUUUUUCUUUUUAGAAUUAAUUUCAGUUUUUUUUCUGAAUAAAAUGGAAGGGAAAAGCCUAAGAUUUUAUAGGGAAUUACCUAGGUUUUUAUAGAAAAAAUACUUUAGUUUUUACUGAAAAACUAAUUUAUCUUUUUAUUUUUCUUUUUAGAAUUAAGUUUAAUUUUUUUCAAUAAAAGGGAAACACCUAGAGUUUUGUAGGAAAUUACUUGAGUUCUUAUUAAAUUUGAGUGAUUAAAAAUGAGUAUAUUUAAUGGAAAAUUAAUGGUGGGCGACUAAAAUGAUAUAAAAGUAUGUAACGAUAGUGGCUAAAAUGAUAAAAGUAUAUAAUAACAGUACCUAAAUUGCGAACUUUUAAAUUUUGGUGUCCAAAAUGAAUACUUAUAAAAGUUGAGUGGCCAACUGAGUACAUUUAAUGGCAAAUUAACUAUGGGUGACUAAAAUGAUAAAAAAGGUAUGUAACGAUAGUGACUAAAAUGAUAAAAGUAUAUAACGACAGUACCUAAAUUGUAAACUUUUAAAUUUGGUGCCCAAAAUGAAUACAUAUAAAAGUUGAGUGACCAACUGUGUGGUUUACCCUUUUCUUUAUUUUGCAUAUCUAUUUUAUUGCCUUUAUUUAGGAUUUGUAAUUGUUUUAUUUAAUAAUAUUCAUCUUGAAGGUUUAAACUCGUGUUUUUUCCUUAAUAGUAUAACGUAUCUUACCACUACACCUAAUACUUGUUAAUGGUAAAAUAAAAAAUAGAUAUGAAAAUUAUAUAUAUAUUUAAAUCAAUCCAUCAAAUAUGAACUUUAUUAUAAGAUAAGCAUAAAAUUAUUUAUUUUAAAUAAUUUAUUGUAUACAAACAAAAUUUACUUGUACCACAUCAUUUGCAAUUUUAAACUUAAAAAGCUUAAAAACACACACACACACACAAAAAAAAAAAAAACAGAACACUUGUUUGAAUUCAAUUGGAUGAAGAAGUUGACAAUGUACGAGCUGCUAUGACAUGCACAUUCCUUGUCCAACAACUCAAACUCCCUCAUCUUUAAUCUUAAAGUGGGAAUCUGGCGAUGGAUUAUCUCCAUUCACUCACAGCAACUUCAACUGUUGCAAUCAUUGCUUUUCCACUACUUUUUCUUUUCUCUUUGCUAUGGAUCUCAAGAAGAAACACAAACUCGAAGAAAACAGCACCAGAAGCUGGUGGAGCAUGGCCUAUUAUUGGUCAUCUCCGCCUCUUAGGAGGAUCACAACCACCUCACAUAAGCUUGGCUAACAUGGCUGACAAAUAUGGAAGAAUCUUCAGUAUCAAGUUGGGUGUGCAUAGAGCUUUGGUGGUGAGCAAUUGGGAGAUUGCUAAAGAAUGUCUCACCAUAAAUGAUAAAGCAUUCGCCUCUCGUCCAAAGCUUGCAUUCUCGGAAAUUAUGGGUUACAACGGUGCCAUGACUGGCUUUGCGCCAUAUGGACCUUAUUGGCGUCAAGUGCGUAAGAUUGUCACUAUUGAGCUCCUCUCAAAUCACCGACUUGAAUUGCUUAAACCUGUGAGGGAUUCCGAGAUAAAGACAUCUCUGCAACAGUUAUACCAGCAGUGGAACAAGAAGAGAAGUACUAACUCCGAUAAAGUAUUGGUGGAGAUGAAGGGAUGGUUCAAAGAAGUUACUCUGAAUGUUAUUACGAGGAUGAUUGUAGGAAAGUGAAUUCCAAAUUCCAGUGAAGGAGGUGAAAACUUGAAAUGGAAGAAAUAUAUGGAUGACUUCUUUGAACUGAGUGGAAAGUUCCUAAUAUCAGAUGCGUUGCCGUUUUUGAGAUGGUUGGACAUAGGUGGAGAUAUGAAGUACAUGAAAAAGACCGCGAAAGAAUUGGACCAAGUUGUGGAGGGAUGGCUACGAGAGCACAAGCAGAAGAGAGCUGAAAAUAAGGCAAAUAGUGAGGAAGAUUUCAUGGGAGUGAUGCUGUCUAUUCUCAGUGAUGCGGAGGAACUCCAUGCUGAUACAAUCAACAAAGCCACUUGUCUCGUACGUGCAUCUCUCUUAACCAAACUGAUUGCCAUUAAUAACAUACAGAAGUUGGAAAUGCUAUUAAUUCAUUGUUGAUUUCCAUUAAUAACAUACAGAAGUUGGAAAUGCUAUUGAUUCAUUGUUGAUUGCCAUUAAUAACAUACAGAAGUUGGAAAUGCUAUUAAUUCAUUGUUGAUCUUUUUAUGGUAUUUGAUCUAAUAGGGUAUCGUCUUGGAGGCGGAGGAUACAACGUCAGUUACUCUGACAUGGGCUUUGUCUCUGUUACUCAAUAAUCAUGACACAUUAAGUAAGGUCCAACAAGAACUAGAUGUUAAGGUUGGUAAGGAUAGGUUGGUAGUGACGGAAUCAGACACCAAAAGCUUAGUGUACCUUCAGUCCAUUAUUAAGGAAACGCUACGCUUAUACCCUGUUGGUCCACUAUCCCUGAUCCAUGAAGCCAUUGAAGACUGCACAGUUAAUGGAUAUCAUGUUUCAGCUGGCACUUGGCUUAUUACGAAUCUUCAUAAGAUUCAUCGUGAUCCACUUAUAUGGGCAAAUCCCUCUAAAUUUCAACCUGAAAGAUUUAUGACCACACAUAAAGAUGUUGAUGUGAGGGGACAAAAUUUUGAACUGAUUCCAUUUGGAAGUGGUAGAAGAAUGUGUCCCGGACUUUCAUUUGCGCUUCAGAAUUUGUCACUUAUACUAGCUAAUGUGUUACAUUGGUUUGAGUUUGAGACCUCGUUAGAUGAAGCCGUUGAUAUGCGUGAAGCACCUGGCCUGACGUGUUCUAAAGCAACUCCAUUAGAAGUUUAUGUAACUCCUCGCCUUCGUGCUUUUGUUUAC
rnacentral:lncRNA from 1 species